CAUAUCAACUUUUGAUACCCUUGACUGUACCUACCAUGGUGACCACGGGUAACGGGGAAUCAGGGUUUGAUUCCG